AAUCAACCAAACAGCCUUUUUUUUCAUUUCCUCUCAAGGGUCGAGUAGGACCUCUAGUCGCAGAUUGAGCCAAGAAUUUAAUAUUUGCCUCCUCUCUCCACCAUAUCACAACCAAACGAGGCUUACAAAUGAGUCUCAAUCAGACUCAUCGGGUUCUGAGUACAUAGUGGAAUGCAGGGGUGCGGACAAGCUUAAACCAAUAUUCUAAGCAGUGCCUGCUAUGGUUACUUGGGAGUUAUGGAAGAGAAGAAACAAUAUCAAGCAUGGUGGUAAAAUAAGCUUUAAUAGAGUGGUACAUGAAGUGAAUAACAAUAUUUACUUAUAGUAAAACUGAGAUAUCCCUGGCUCAAGAAUAUACCUUUCUCAUGGUCAUAGAUGGUCAAUUUUCUAGAAGAAUACAAGAUUGUUAUUGCCACCAGAAUUGUGUAUUGGGCCUUUCCUGCUAAAAUGUGUUAAUAAGUGUAACACAAAUGGUGCUUCAAAGAGGAAUCCUGCUCCUAGUUCAUAUGGUUUUUGUGUGAGAGAUUGGAGGGGAGAUCUAUUUUAUGCUCAAUAUAAGGAGAUUGAUGAAACUACAAAUGUGAUUGCUGAGGCUAGAGAAAUAAUAGAGGGUAUGAUGUACUAUGCAGCAAAUAACUUGCUAGCAGUAACAAUUGAAACAGAUUCUAUUUUGCUAAAAAAAAAAAAAAACAAACGGUAGAAGGAAGUUGGGAGCCUCCGUAGUGUAUUGCCACAUUGGUGGACAGAAUCAAAGCACUGAAGGAUAUCCACAAUAUGACAAUACAACAUGUUUUCAGAGAAGACAA